UACGAAGGGUGCAAGCGUUACUCGGAAUUACUGGGCGUAAAGCGUGCGUAGGUGGUGAGUUAAGUCUGUCGUGAAAGCCCCGGGCUCAACCUGGGAAUGGCGAUGGAUACUGGCUCGCUAGAGUGCGGUAGAGGAGAGUGGAAUUCCCGGUGUAGCAGUGAAAUGCGUAGAGAUGUGGAGGAAUACCGAUGGCGAAGGCAGCCCCCUGGGAUAACACUGACGCUCAUGUACGAAAGCGUGGGUAGCAAACAGG
rnacentral:rRNA from 1 species